AAUCCGUGGUGGGGUCAAUUUUAGAAGUAGUUCCUUAAAUCUCUCCCAAGUUUCAUAAAAAUUCGCAUUCUCAUCACCAAAAUCGGUGAUUUGUCUCCUGAGAGC